AACGCACCUUGCGCUCCUUGGUAUUCCGAGGAGCAUGCCUGUUUGAGUGUCAUUAAUAUAUCAACCUUCUCUUUUUUGAGUUGUUUGGAUGUGGGGGUUUGCUGGACUCUUUAAUGAAUUCAGCUCCCCUGAAAUGCAUUAGCAGAACAACCUGUUCAUUGGCGUGAUAAUUAUCUAUGCUAUUGAAUGUGAGGGCAGUUCAGCUUUCUAACCGUCCUCGGACAAUUUAUCAUUAAUGUGACCUCAAAUCAGGUAGGACUACCCGCUGAACUUAA
rnacentral:misc_RNA from 1 species